rnacentral:rRNA from 1 species
CAGCCGCCGCGGUAACACGGAGGGUGCAAGCGUUAAUCGGAAUUACUGGGCGUAAAGCGCACGCAGGCGGUCUGACAAGUCAGAUGUGAAAUCCCCUGACUUAACCUGGGAACUGCAUUUGAAACUGUCAGGCUGGAGUCUUGUAGAGGGGGGUGGAAUUCCAGGUGUAGCGGUGAAAUGCGUAGAGAUCUGGAGGAAUACCGGUGGCGAAGGCGGCCCCCUGGACAAAGACUGACGCUCAGGUGCGAAAGCGUGGGGAGCAAACAGGAUUAGAUACCCCGGUAGUUUCUGUCUCUUAUAA